rnacentral:rRNA from 1 species
GAUGAACGCUGGCGGCGUGCCUAAUACAUGCAAGUCGAGCGAACAGACGAGGAGCUUGCUCCUCUGACGUUAGCGGCGGACGGGUGAGUAACACGUGGAUAACCUACCUAUAAGACUGGGAUAACUUCGGGAAACCGGAGCUAAUACCGGAUAAUAUAUUGAACCGCAUGGUUCAAUAGUGAAAGACAGUUUUGCUGUCACUUAUAGAUGGAUCCGCGCCGCAUUAGCUAGUUGGUAAGGUAACGGCUUACCAAGGCAACGAUGCGUAGCCGACCUGAGAGGGUGAUCGGCCACACUGGAACUGAGACACGGUCCAGACUCCUACGGGAGGCAGCAGUAGGGAAUCUUCCGCAAUGGGCGAAAGCCUGACGGAGCAACGCCGCGUGAGUGAUGAAGGUCUUCGGAUCGUAAAACUCUGUUAUUAGGGAAGAACAAAUGUGUAAGUAUCUAUGCACGUCUUGACGGUACCUAAUCAGAAAGCCACGGCUAACUACGUG